rnacentral:rRNA from 1 species
AUUGAACGCUGGCGGCAUGCCUUACACAUGCAAGUCGAACGGCAGCGGACCUUCGGGUGCCGGCGAGUGGCGAACGGGUGAGUAAUAUAUCGGAACGUACCUUUCAGUGGGGGAUAACGUAGCGAAAGUUACGCUAAUACCGCAUAUUCUGUGAGCAGGAAAGCAGGGGAUCGCAAGACCUUGCGCUGAUUGAGCGGCCGAUAUCAGAUUAGCUAGUUGGUGAGGUAAAGGCUCACCAAGGCGACGAUCUGUAGCGGGUCUGAGAGGAUGAUCCGCCACACUGGAACUGAGACACGGUCCAGACUCCUACGGGAGGCAGCAGUGGGGAAUUUUGGACAAUGGGCGCAAGCCUGAUCCAGCCAUGCCGCGUGAGUGAAGAAGGGCCUCGGUU